rnacentral:misc_RNA from 1 species
AAGUCGUAACAAGGUCUCCGUAGGUGAACCUGCGGAGGGAUCAUUAACACGUUUCCAUAACGUUUCUACCUACCAACCGCGUGAACUAACUGAAUUAUUUUACCCGACCUGUGAGAGGGAUGUGCCGUUACACUGCAUUUAGUGAUGGGCUGUGCAUGCACUUGUGUGUGCACGGCGGGUGCAGUGUGGCUGGGAGGCGUGUCUCACGACACGACCUCCGGGGUCUCUUCUCUUGCAGGCUUUAAACCAUCGAGUUGUUCCCACCAUUCAUUGGGCUGCUCGGUAAACAUACCAAUUUCACCCCCUUGUACCAAUUAGACUGAUAUCGUGUGGUUGGCCGAAAGGCCUCUCAUACACUCUAUGUUCAAUCAACAUAUCUACAGCACAACUCUUAGCAACGGAUAUCUUGGUUCUC